rnacentral:sRNA from 1 species
UAAUAGACAAAGGAAGAUCAAACUGAAAAUCCAUUAAUCCAACAACAGCAAUAUCUGGAAACUAAGACAAAUUCUGGGAACAAACUGAAGCAAAUGAAACACAAAAUGCAGAGGGGAAAAGCGAAAGACUUGUGGAGUAGAUUUGGUCUACUUAGAUCGCUGUCUCAUCUUUCGUCUCUUCCUCUUCAAUCUCCUCAUACGCUUCUUCUUCCACU